rnacentral:rRNA from 1 species
CUUGACACUGAACAUUGAGCCUUGAUGUGUAGGAUAGGUGGGAGGCUUUGAAGUGUGGACGCCAGUCUGCAUGGAGCCGACCUUGAAAUACCACCCUUUAAUGUUUGAUGUUCUAACGUUGACCCGUAAUCCGGGUUGCGGACAGUGUCUGGUGGGUAGUUUGACUGGGGCGGUCUCCUCCUAAAGAGUAACGGAGGAGCACGAAGGUUGGCUAAUCCUGGUCGGACAUCAGGAGGUUAGUGCAAUGGCAUA